UUCAACCGCCUAAGUUCUCUCUCUCUCCAAACCUUUUCCAACCCUAACAUUUCUAAGCCAAAAUUUGUGCUUUCCAGUAUGUUUUUAAGAAAAAUAAUCCGAUCAAUCGAUUCCUUAUCAUCCAAAUCAUCUUUUCACCGAUAAAUUUCUUCAAAAAUGGUUUAUGAAAUCUUUUCUUUGAAUAUUUUUUUGGAUCUGUCGAAUAAUUUUGUUAUUUUGCAAUAUUCUAAGUUAUCAGCUCCAGUCUUGUUCCAAGAUUUUUAAACUCAUCAAACAAUUUAUUAUCGGCUAAAUUAUCUUUUAAUUUCUUUUCUGUAAAUGAUUUAUUCUUAUAAUUGGUUCUUCAAUCUCAAAGUUAAUCUUUUUUGUUGAAUCGAUUGAAAACGUUCACAAUCUAAGGCUUAAAUUUUUUAACCGUUCCAAUUUCUUCAAAUCAAUUCUCUUUUA
rnacentral:lncRNA from 1 species